CUAUACUAGAUAAAUGGCACAUUAAUUUGUACCAAAUGAGAAAUAGAUGCUUUUCCAAAUAGAAUGCUAACCUUGAAAAUUUGACCAAUCUUAUUGGCUAAUUAGAAGUAUCUAUGCUCUAACACUAUUCCAUUGUGCUAAAAAAGGAAUAGAGGUGAAGGAUGACAUGAGUUUCCCAAUAAUAGGUAUGCAAAGAUGGAUAUACUAACUUCACUGCUGAUCUCUUACCCAUUGAUUAUAUACUUUCAAGAUAUGAUGAUGCAUACAAUGCAAACAUAUUUUAUGUUUAUUCAUUGUCAUUAACAUUUUUUAGCAACAUUGACGCUCUCUCAUUGAUUCUAUUUCUCCA